rnacentral:lncRNA from 1 species
GGGUCCCGGCAGGCGCCCCCCCCCCCCGCCCCCAUUGCCAGCGGUCCCUCCGCUUCGGGGGGGGCUUCGUUUGGAGCCCCCCCACCCCCCGGCCCCGUCGGCUCCUCGCACCCAGGGGGCUUCUCCUCCUCCUCCAUGGGCACCUAUGGGAGGGGGGGGGACACAGAAAAUGAGGGGGGGUCACCCCAAAUUGCCCCGUUUGGCCCUAAAAUCCGCCCUGCUCACCCAGCAUCCCAACGAAAUCCACACUUCUCUGCCCCCAAAUUGCUGCUUUUCUCAACCAAUUCCACCCUCAGAACCCAAAAAUCUCCUUUUCUGACCCCAAAAUUGCUGCUUUUCUCACCCAAUUCCCCCCUCAGACCCCAAAAAUCUCCUUUUCUGACCCCAAGUUCACCGUUUCUGACCCCAAAAUUGCUGCUUUUCUCACCUAAUUCCCCCUUCAGAACCCAAAAAUCUCCAUUUCUGACCCCAAAUUCACCAUUUCAGACCCCAAAUUACCAUUUCUGACCCCAAAAUUGCCACUUUUCUCACCCAAUUCCCCUCACAGACCCCCAGAAUCACCUUUUCUGACCCAAAAUUACCAUUUCUGACCCCAAAAUUGCUGCUUUUCUCACCCAAUUCCCCCCUCAGACCCCCAAAAUCUCCUUUUCUCACCCCAAAUUCACCUCUUUUCUCACCCAAUUCCCCCCUCAGAACCCCAAAAUCUCCUUUUCUGACCCAAAAUUGCUUUUUACUGACCCCAAUUGCUGCUUUUCUCACCCAAUUCGCCUUUCAGACACCAAAAAUCUCCUUUUCUCACCCCAAGCUCACCAUUUCUGACCCCCAAAUUGCCACUUUUCUCACCCAAUUCCCCUCUCAGACCCCAAAAAUCUCCUUUUCUGACCCCAAAUUCUCCAUUUCUGACCCCAAAAUUGCCUCUUUUCUCACCCCCAAUUCCUUCUUCCAACCCCAAACUGCCCUUUUCCGACCCAAAUUUACCAUUUUUGCCCCAAAAUCCCCAUUUCUGAUCCCCAAAAUCCCCAUUUUUACCUCAACCCAUUUUGCCCAAAUCCCUACUUUUCACCCCAAAACCCACUCCUGUCCCCAAAUCCCUACUUUUCACCCCCAAAAUUUUCAAUCUUACCCCAAAUCCCCCCAUUUUUCACCCCAAAAUCCCAAAUUUCCUCACAAAAAACACCAUUCUUACCCUAAACCCCCUUUUUUUCUGACUCAAAAUCCCCAUUUCUUACCCCAAAAUCCCCCUUUUUCACACCAAAACCUCAAAGCCUUUUACCCCAAUU